rnacentral:rRNA from 1 species
GAUGAACGCUGGCGGCGUGCUUAACACAUGCAAGUCGAACGGUGAACGAGGGAGCUUGCUCCCUCCGGAUCAGUGGCGAACGGGUGAGUAACACGUGAGCAAUCUGCCCCGAACUCUGGGAUAAGCGCUGGAAACGGCGUCUAAUACCGGAUACGACGCGCGAAGGCAUCUUCUGCGCGUGGAAAGAAUUUCGGUUCGGGAUGAGCUCGCGGCCUAUCAGCUAGUUGGUGAGGUAACGGCUCACCAAGGCGACGACGGGUAGCCGGCCUGAGAGGGUGACCGGCCACACUGGGACUGAGACACGGCCCAGACUCCUACGGGAGGCAGCAGUGGGGAAUAUUGCACAAUGGGCGAAAGCCUGAUGCAGCAACGCCGCGUGAGGGACGACGGCCUUCGGGUUGUAAACCUCUUUUAGUAGGGAAGAAGCGAAAGUGACGGUACCUGCAGAAAAAGCACCGGCUAACUACGUGCCAGCCGCCGCAGUAAUAC